rnacentral:rRNA from 1 species
GGAGUGAAAGGCUAAUCAAACCCCGUAAUAGCUGGUUCUCUCCGAAAUAGCUUUAGGGCUAGCGUCGGGUGAGUACUCCGAGGAGGUAGAGCACUGAUAGGCUUAGGGUCCCUAACCGGAUACCAAAACCUGUUAAACUCCGAAUGCCUCGGAUCCAUUACCCCGGCAGUCAGUCGAUGAGUGAUAAGAUCCAUCGUCGAGAGGGAAACAACCCAGAUCACCGACUAAGGUGCCUAAAUACCGUUCAGUGGUAAGGAGGUGAAGUGACAUAGACAGUGAGGAUGUUGGCUUAGAAGCAGCCACCAUUUAAACAGUGCGUAACAGCUGACUCAUCGAGUUACUUCGCGCCGAAAAUGAUUGGCGAUCAAACGGUAUACCGACGUCGUGAAUGUCUUCGGACAUGGUAGGAGAGCGUAGUCUUUGCAUCGAAGCUGUUCUGUAAAGAGCGGUGGAGCGGAGACUAGCGAGAAUGCAGACAUGAGUAGCGAUAAACAAAGUGAGAAUCUUUGUCUCCGUAAACCUAAGGUUUCCUGGGCCAGGCUCGUCCUCCCAGGGUUAGCCGGGACCUAAGGCGAGGCCGAAAGGCGUAGUCGAUGGAUAACAGGUUAAUAUUCCUGUGCUAAUGCGCAACAUGGGACGCAUGGCAGAAAGGUGACACACACAAUGAUAUGUGAGUCUAGGCUUCGGCCGAAACACGUCACCCGCAGCUGUGCCGAGAAAACCGCGCAGGCCCGUACCGUAAACCGACACAGGUAGGUGAGUCGAAUAGACUAAGGAGCGCGAGAGAAAUCUCUCCAAGGAACUCGGCAAAUUAGCCCCGUAACUUCGGAAGAAGGGGUGCCCAUUUCGGUGGGCCACAGUAAAUUGGGACUGGCGACUGUUUACCAAAAACACAGCUCUCUGCAAAGUCGUGAAGACGACGUAUAGGGAGUGACACGUGACCAAUGCGAAAAGAUUAAGGUGACUUGUUAGCCCUUGAGGCGAAGCUCGGAGCCCAAGUCCUCGUGAAUGUCGGCCGUAACUAUAACGGUCCUAAGGUAGCGAAAUUCCUUGUCGGGUAAGUUCCGACCUGCACGAAUCGUGCAACGACCGGUCCGCUGUCUCGGAGAGAAUCUCGGCGAAGUUGUAAUUGCGGUGAAGAUGCCGCAUACCCGCAGUAGGACGGAAAGACCCUGUACACCUUUACUAUAAGCAAGUAUUGGCUUCUGAUUAGUGAUGCGUAGCGUAGGUGGGAGACUUUGAAGUGAUGGCUUAGGUUGUCAUGGAGUCGAAAUGUGAAACACCACUCUUUAUUAAUUAGGAUUCUAACAACGAUUUCUCUGAAGCGAGACGUUGAACAGUGCUUGCGGGUUAGUUUGACUGGGGCGGUUUCCUCCCAAAAAGUAACGGAGGAGCACUAAGGUACCUUCAGCAUGGUUAGCAACCAUGCGUCGAGCGUAUGCGUAGAAGGGUGCUUGACUGCGAGACCUACAAGUCGAGCAGGUACGAAAGUAGGUGCAAAUGAUCCGGUGGUAGAACGUGGAAUUGCCAUCGCUCAACGGACAAAAGGUACGUCAGGGAUAACAGGCUGAUCGCGCCCAAGAGUUCAUAUCGACGGCGC